GUGGGGAAUCUUCCGCAAUGGACGAAAGUCUGACGGAGCAACGCCGCGUGAGUGAUGAAGGUCUUCGGAUUGUAAAGCUCUGUUAAUCGGGACGAAAGAGCCUAGUGUGAAUAAUGCUAGGAAGUGACGGUACCGGAAUAGAAAGCCACGGCUAACUACGUGCCAGCAGCCGCGGUAAUACGUAGGUGGCAAGCGUUGUCCGGAAUUAUUGGGCGUAAAGCGCGCGUAGGCGGAUCUGCCAGUCUGUCUUAAAAGUUCGGGGCUUAACCCCGUGAUGGGAUGGAAACUACAGAUCUAGAGUAUCGGAGAGGAAAGUGGAAUUCCUAGUGUAGCGGUGAAAUGCGUAGAUAUUAGGAAGAACACCAGUGGCGAAGGCGACUUUCUGGACGAAAACUGACGCUGAGGCGCGAAAGCCAGGGGAGCGAACGGGAUUAGAUACCCGGGUAGUCC
rnacentral:rRNA from 1 species